CUGACAUUUGGAAAAUGAAUGAAUUGUGCUUGCCAGGUGCUUGAGAACAACAUUUGGCAUGAAAUAGCUGGCAUGACAUGAGCUUGCAGGCAGUGUUUUAUUUCCUAUUCUUCUAGACCUUCCCAUUGUAUCAAGAGACUAAACAGGAACCCAUUUCAGAGGGCAUCAAAUAUUCCAAGGGGAUGGUUACAGAUGUAUUUGCAAUAUAUUAAUUUUAUUAAGAUAUUUUACUAGAGUAGGAUUGCAUUUGGGAUAAUAUCCCAGAUAAUAACAGCAGUGGAGACCUGAAAUGGAUCUGGAAUGCCUGCUGUGGAGACACUGGGAAAAUUCAAGGUUUGCAUCUUGCCAUGGAUAGAAGAAGCCAGGAAAACACAAACAGCAGGAAAAAACACAACAGAGACCUCACAAACAGCACGGGGCAAGGAGGAGGGGCAGAACCUGUGGCCAGACUGGGAGUAAAUACAGUGGCAACCAGUCAUCCCAUGGCAGGAGAAAGGGAAAGAAAGGAAGAAAAGCAACAGAACAGCGUGUUCCUUCUGGCCAAGAGGUUGGGGGACAAGGGGACAAGGAGGGAGAUGGAGCCCAGGCUGGAGUUGGUGGCUGCAGGAGCAUCCCAGGUGUGCCAGGGGAACCCCAGCACAGGAGGUCUCUGGCCUGGGGCCAGGACACACCAUGCAGCCCAGCCCUCUCCCCAGAUGUCAGCCAAAAUGACCACACAAACCAGGGACCCCUCAGUGCUCCAGGGAUCCUUGACUGCACUCUGCUUCCUCAGCGGCUCAGCAUUCUUACAGCUCUGC
rnacentral:lncRNA from 1 species